AGGAGCCCAAACCUGUGAGGCGAACGAGCUGACUGGCGCUGCCUCACGGGGGUUGAACGAGCGUGAUGGAGGGGGCAGUUGACCCCUCGCGCGGGUGUGUGGAGAGAGCGGAAGGCCGCUGGAACGGGCCAUCGCAGAGGGUGAGAAUCCCGUACGCAAAUCUCCAGGCAUCUGGGUGAUCAUGGAUCGUGAGUACCGCCGGACACGAGAAAUCCGGCGGGAAGCGGGGCGGACCACCGCCCAAGGCUAAAUACCGCCAUCGACCGAUAGUGAACCAGUACCGUGAGGGAACGGUGAAAAGCACCCCGGCGAGGGGAGUGAAACAGAUCCUGAAAACCCUGCGCUUCCGGCCGGUCGGAGCCCCCACGCAAGUGAUGGGGUGACGGCGUGCCUUUUGUAGAAUGAGCCGACGAGUGAGCCGUGCGAGCGAGGCUAAGCCAGGGACAGGCGGAGCCGGAGCGAAAGCGAGUCCGAAAGGGCGGGCAGUUCGUG
rnacentral:rRNA from 1 species